AUGGCCAGUUCUUUAUUAGAAGGAGUGGGAGUUCUAUGUUCUAAGGCCUGUUCUUUAUUAGAAGGAGUGAGAGUUCUAUGUUCUAAUGCCUGUUCUGUAUUAGAAGGAGUGAGAGUUCUAAGUUAUAAAGCCUGUUCUUUAUUAGAAGGAGUGAGAGUUCUAAGUUAUAAAGCCUGUUCUUUAUUAGAAGGAGUGAGAGUUCUAUGUUCUAAUGCCUGUUCUGUAUUAGAAGGAGUGAGAGUUCUAUGUUCUAAUGCCUGUUCUUUAUUAGAAGGAGUGGGAGUUCUAUGUUCUAAGGCCUGUUCUUUAUUAGAAGGAGUGAGAGUUCUAUGUUCUAAUGCCUGUUCUGUAUUAGAAGGAGUGAGAGUUCUAAGUUAUAAAGCCUGUUCUUUAUUAGAAGGAGUGAGAGUUCUAAGUUAUAAAGCCUGUUCUUUAUUAGAAGGAGUGAGAGUUCUAUGUUCUAAUGCCUGUUCUGUAUUAGAAGGAGUGAGAGUUCUAUGUUCUAAUGCCUGUUCUUUAUUAGAAGGAGUGAGAGUUCUAUGUUCUAAUGCCUGUUCUGUAUUAGAAGGAGUGAGAGUUCUAUGUUCUAUGGCCUGUUCUUUAUUAGAAGGAGUGAGAGUUCUAUGUUCUAAUGCCUGUUCUGUAUUAGAAGGAGUGAGAGUUCUAAGUUAUAAAGCCUGUUCUUUAUUAGAAGGAGUGAGAGUUCUAAGUUAUAAAGCCUGUUCUUUAUUAGAAGGAGUGAGAGUUCUAUGUUCUAAUGCCUGUUCUGUAUUAGAAGGAGUGAGAGUUCUAUGUUCUAAUGCCUGUUCUGUAUUAGAAGGAGUGAGAGUUCUAUGUUCUAAUGCCUGUUCUGUAUUAGAAGGAGUGAGAGUUCUAUGUUCUAUGGUCUGUUCUUUAUUAGAAGGAGUGAGAGUUCUAUGUUAUAAAGCCUGUUCUUUAUUAGAAGGAGUGAGAGUUCUAUGUUCUAAGACCUGUUCUGUAUUAGAAGGUGUGACCUUUCUAAGGCCUGUUCGUUAA
rnacentral:lncRNA from 1 species